GACGAACGCUGGCGGCGUGCUUAACACAUGCAAGUCGAGCGGUAAGGCCCUUUCGGGGGUACACGAGCGGCGAACGGGUGAGUAACACGUGAGUAAUCUGCCCAUCACUUGGGGAUAACUACCGGAAACGGUGGCUAAUACCGAAUAUGACCACUUCCUGCAUGGGAUGGUGGUGGAAAGUUCCGGCGGUGAUGGAUGAGCUCGCGGCCUAUCAGCUUGUUGGUGGGGUAAUGGCCUACCAAGGCCUCGACGGGUAGCCGGCCUGAGAGGGUGACCGGCCACACUGGGACUGAGACACGGCCCAGACUCCUACGGGAGGCAGCAGUGGGGAAUAUUGGACAAUGGGCGAAAGCCUGAUCCAGCAACGCCGCGUGGGGGAUGACGGCCUUCGGGUUGUAAACCUCUUUCAGUGGGGACGAAGCGCAAGUGACGGUACCCACAGAAGAAGCACCGGCCAACUACGUGCCAGCCGCCGCGGUAA
rnacentral:rRNA from 1 species